AGAGUUGAUCCUGGCUCAGGACGAACGCUGGCGGCGUGCCUAACACAUGCAAGUCGAACGGACGAGAGGAGCUUGCUCCUCGAGUUAGUGGCGAACGGGUGAGUAACGCGUGAGCAACCUGCCUUUCAGAGGGGGACAACGGUUGGAAACGACCGCUAAUACCGCAUGACGCAUUUGGAUCGCAUGGUCUGAAUGCCAAAGAUUUUAUCGCUGAAAGAUGGGCUCGCGUCUGAUUAGAUAGUUGGUGGGGUAACGGCCCACCAAGUCGACGAUCAGUAGCCGGACUGAGAGGUUGAACGGCCACAUUGGGACUGAGAUACGGCCCAGACUCCUACGGGAGGCAGCAGUGGGGAAUAUUGGGCAAUGGGGGAAACCCUGACCCAGCAACGCCGCGUGAAGGAAGAAGGCUUUCGGGUUGUAAACUUCUUUUACCAGGGACGAAGAAAGUGACGGUACCUGGAGAAAAAGCCACGGCUAACUACGUGCC
rnacentral:rRNA from 1 species